GGGACGAAUAGCUCAGUAAAACUGCGAUGAUUUAGUCUGGCUGUGUAGAUAACUACGUGAAAAUGUAGCUAAGGGAAGGCAGAAUAAGACGCAGGACUAUCAGUUAGUUGGUAGUGUAAUGGACUACCAAGACAGUGACGGUUGACGGGAAAUUAGGGUUUUGUACCGGAGAGGGAGCCUGAGAGAUUGCUCCCACGUCCAAGGACGGCAGCAGGCGCGAAAAUUGCCCACUCUUUGCAGGAGGCAGUUAUGAGACGUGAAGAUGAGUAUCUUGUAAAGAGGGAUAGGAGAAUUGGAGGGCAAGUUUGGUGCCAGCAGCCGCGGAAAUACCGACUCCAAGAGUGUGUAUGAGAGAUGCUGCAGUUAAAAAGUCCGUAGUCAUAGAAGGGCAAAGAGAGACGCGAGGUCUCACAGUGCGAUGAUGGAGGAGCCGAUGGGGAACAUAGUAUACCAGGGCGAGAGAUGAAAUGCCAAGACCCCUGGUGGACUGAGCGAGGCGAAGGCGAUGUUCUUGUAGGCAUUCGGUGAUCAAGGACGAAGGCUGGAGU
rnacentral:rRNA from 1 species